UACGUAGGCAGCAAGCGUUGUUCGGAGUUACUGGGCGUAAAGGGUGUGUAGGCGGUUUUCUAAGUUUGGUGUGAAAUCUCCCGGCUCAACUGGGAGGGUGCGCCGAAAACUGGAAAGCUAGAGUACUGGAUGGGAGAGUGGAAUUCCUGGUGUAGCGGUGAAAUGCGUAGAUAUCAGGAGGAACACCAAUAGCGAAGGCAGCUCGCUGGGACGUUACUGACACUGAGGCGCGAAAGCGUGGGGAGCGAACAGG
rnacentral:rRNA from 1 species